rnacentral:rRNA from 1 species
GAUGAACGCUGGCGGCGUGCCUAAUACAUGCAAGUCGAGCGAACAGACGAGGAGCUUGCUCCUCUGACGUUAGCGGCGGACGGGUGAGUAACACGUGGAUAACCUUCCUAUAAGACUGGGAUAACUUCGGGAAACCGGAGCUAAUACCGGAUAAUAUAUUGAACCGCAUGGUUCAAUAGUGAAAGACGGUUUUGCUGUCACUUAUAGAUGGAUCCGCGCCGCAUUAGCUAGUUGGUAAGGUAACGGCUUACCAAGGCAACGAUGCGUAGCCGACCUGAGAGGGUGAUCGGCCACACUGGAACUGAGACACGGUCCAGACUCCUACGGGAGGCAGCAGUAGGGAAUCUUCCGCAAUGGGCGAAAGCCUGACGGAGCAACGCCGCGUGAGUGAUGAAGGUCUUCGGAUCGUAAAACUCUGUUAUUAGGGAAGAACAAAUGUGUAAGUAACUAUGCACGUCUUGACGGUACCUAAUCAGAAAGCCACGGCUAACUACGUG